UAGGGAAUAUUGCGCAAUGGGCGGAAGCCUGACGCAGCGACGCCGCGUGAGCGAAGAAGGCCUUCGGGUCGUAAAGCUCUGUCCUUGGGGAAGAAGGCGAAAGCUUGACGGUACCCAAGAAGAAAGCCCCGGCUAACUACGUGCCAGCAGCCGCGGUAAUACGUAGGGGGCGAGCGUUGUCCGGAAUUACUGGGCGUAAAGGGUGCGUAGGCGGCCUUUUAAGUCAGAUGUGAAAGGCUGCGGCUUAACCGCAGGACUGCAUUUGAAACUGGAAGGCUUGAGUGUCGGAGAGGGUAGUGGAAUUCCCAGUGUAGCGGUGAAAUGCGUAGAUAUUGGGAGGAACACCAGUGGCGAAGGCGACUACCUGGACGAUAACUGACGCUGAGGCACGAAAGCUAGGGGAGCAAACAGG
rnacentral:rRNA from 3 species